rnacentral:rRNA from 1 species
UCGAGAAUUUUUCUCAAUGGGGGAAACCCUGAAGGAGCGACGCCGCGUGGAGGAUGAAGGUCUUCGGGUUGUAAACUCCUGUCAUUUGGGAACAAUGCUGACGCGUUAACUGCGCGUUAGUUGAUAGUACCAGAAGAGGAAGAGACGGCUAACUCUGUGCCAGCAGCCGCGGUAAUACAGAGGUCUCAAGCGUUGUUCGGAUUCAUUGGGCGUAAAGGGUGUGUAGGUGGCGCGCUAAGUCGGGUGUGAAAUCUCGGGGCUUAACUCCGAAACUGCAUUCGAUACUGGCGUGCUUGAGGACUGGAGAGGAGACUGGAAUUCAUGGUGUAGCAGUGAAAUGCGUAGAGAUCAUGAGGAAGACCAGUGGCGAAGGCGGGUCUCUGGACAGUUCCUGACACUGAGACACGAAGGCCAGGGGAGCAAACGG